rnacentral:tRNA from 2 species
ACCGUGGUAGUUUAGGUGGAAAAACACCUGGUUUACAUCCAGGAGCCAAAGGUUCAAAUCCUUUGCACGGUA